UUGGCAUAGUGAUGGCGAGAGUAGUGGGUUGCUAUUGUAGCCAUUCUGGGUUUGAACUAUCGCUCGUUUUGUCUGCUCGUUUGCAAGAUCUGGUCUGAUAUCCCCUCAACCUGGCCGAACUCCACGCCCAUCACCACUGUUCUACUCAACACUUAUCCCAACACAUGGACUUCGUCAGAGUGUUCUCCUCUCUCAAAAGACCUUGAAGCUAGAGGGAGGGUGUAAUGAAGCAUACACUAUCAAAACCAAUAAUGGGAGACAUGUCGUUGCGAAAUUUCCCAUGUCCGUUGCUGGGCCAGCGCCAUAUGUGACUAACUCAGAAGUUCCAACGAUCACUUUCUGUAAG
rnacentral:sRNA from 1 species